AUGACCCCUGCGGAUUUGACCCUACCUACACCCGGAGCCAAUCCCCUAGCAGUCCUGCCACCACGCCGUAGAACAGGAGCUCGUGUGGAACCUUGGAUUUCUGGCGUAACAGCGGUGGAAGGUAUCAAAAUAUUAUGGUUGCAUAACAUAGUAUAUACGCUAAGGUCGGCCAAAAUAUGGACACCCGAAGGGCCCGUCACGCACAAUCCUAUCCUAUCCGAGCCUGUCAUUGUUGCACUUCAGACAACCGUCCGUAGCAUCAUAAGGAGCACCUCCCUUUCGAGGUACCCAAAUGGAACGGUCUUUACUUGA
rnacentral:rRNA from 1 species